CUACGGGCUGCAGCAGUGGAGAAUAUUGGACAAUGGGGGAAACCCUGAUCCAGCAAUGCCGCGUGUGUGAAGAAGGCCUGCGGGUUGUAAAGCACUUUCGGUUGGGAGGACUGCUUCUAGCACUAAUAUUGUUGGAAGUUGACGUUACCUUCAGAAGAAGCACCGGCUAACUCCGUGCCAGCAGCCGCGGUAAUACGGAGGGUGCAGGCGUUAAUCGGAAUUACUGGGCGUAAAGCGCGCGUAGGCGGCUAGAUCAGUCGGGUGUGAAAGCCCCGGGCUUAACCUGGGAACUGCAUCCGAUACUGUCUAGCUUGAGUACAGGAGAGGAGAGUGGAAUUCCACAUGUAGCGGUGAAAUGCGUAGAUAUGUGGAGGAACACCAAUGGCGAAGGCAGCUCUCUGGCCUGAUACUGACGCUGAGGUGCGAAAGCGUGGGGAGCAAACAGGAUUAGAUACCCGCGUAGUC
rnacentral:rRNA from 1 species